AGUAUAAAAAAUAUAUAUAGGGUCCUUCUAAAUCAGCUACGUUCCGUUUAAUGGGAGCAUGUAUACGUCACACUGAAUACGUUCCCAAAGUUUGAGCCAAAAAUUCAGGCUAGUUUCCGAGAUAAUUAAGGAAACAACUUCAUUUCUUAUCAACCCAAUACAACACCCUGUUCAGCUGAUUCACUACUACACUGACAAAAAUCCGCACGCACACGAGCUUGCGUAAUGGCCGCCAUUGCGCUUGUGCUGCCGUUGGGCCACUGGCCGCGAACACAAGAGUGCCGCCGGACGACGGACCGGGCGCCACACAAGCUAUUCUAGGGCUACUACUAGUUAUUUAAGGAAUUAAAUUAAGCAGAAAAUUAAAGUUUAUUUAUUUUUGGUAACAUAAAACAUCUUAUGUGGUAAGUACUUAUUUAGUGGCCUUAAUGGAAUGAUGUUUAUUCAAAAGUUCGUUAAAAUACUUUUGCGCUUGUAAAAAUCUUUUAUUUCAAACGUAGCAACGAAACGAAGAAAAGUUAGUUGCCGAAAUCAAUGACUUAUUUUUAUGCCAUACACAAAUGGGAUAGUUACCAUGACUAUGAAAUUUAGAAUUACGGUUAUUAUUACGAUAAAGCAGGCACAUUUUUCAUGUUAAUUUUAAUCGCUUAAUAUCCCCUUAGCAAAUUAAAUAAAAAUGUGAUUCGUAAUUGACUCGAUCAUAGCAGAAACUAAACGCUAUCGAAUUAUCUACCUGUGAUUAUCGGCAGUCUUUAGUAUUCCGAAGUAAAUAAGUAAAUAAUUGUUCCCAACUAUCAAUUUUAAACUGAAAUAAUAAUCAUUAAAAUCAUCGUAGAAACAAAAAAAAAUUAUAAAAGUAAAUAAUGAUAGUUUUAUUAUUAUUAAGAUUAGAAAGAAUUUUGGAGUUGACAUCCUUAUUUAUGCGUGGCGGAGUCGGAUGGUAUCAAAUGGUACGUUUACACGCUUGCCAAGCCUUCGCAAGCGGCAAACAGCUCCAAGCCUCCACAAAUCUCGUUUGGCGUUUGAAAGGAGUUUACACGCUUGGGAACGCGUCAGUCUGCAAGAUAGAUCCAAGCAUGGCGGACACCGAACUUGUAACGGCUAUUGCAUUUGGUUUAUCGUACUUUUAUUUAAAAUGCAAGCAAAGUGAAACAAAAAAAAGAAAAACUCGACGACAACGAAGAUGGUGGAUGAAAAAGAUUCAUCGAAAUCGUACCAGACAAUUUAUAGAAGAGAAAUUUAAUGAACUUUUAUAUGAACCUUCUGGCGAGUUUGAUAACUUCUGCCGAAUGAGCUAUACCGAUUUUGAAUUUUUACUGCAGAAAAUUUCACCAAUGAUAUCCAAGCAAGAUACAGACUUCAGAGAUGCUAUACCGGCCAAAUUUCGUCUUGCCAUUACGCUACGAUUUUUAGCAUCUGGUGAUUCUUACAAAAGCCUUCACUACAUGUUUAAAGUAUCUGUCUCUAUGAUAUCAAUAACCAUUCGUGAAGUUUGCCGAUCUCUUAAUGAAAUUCUAAAGGAUCUAGUUAAGAUGCCCACCACAGCAGAAGGAUGGCUUAAUAUUGAAGAAGGAUUCAGGACCAAAUUUCCACAUUGCAUAGGGUCAUUGGAUGGCAAGCAUGUAGUCAUUGAAAGCCCAACUCAUAGUGGAACAGAAUAUUUCAAUUAUAAAAAAACUUUUAGCAUUGUCCUUUUGGCGUUAGUGGAUAGCAAAUACAAAUUUGUAUUUGCAGACAUCGGGAGUCAAGGAAGAAUAAGUGACGGUGGCGUGUUUAAUAAUUGUUUACUAUGGAAAAGAAUAUGUAGGAACGAGAUAGAUUUUCCACCGCCAUGUCCACUUCCAGGAUCGAAUAUUAAUAUUCCAUACGUGUUUUUAGCUGACGGUGCUUUUGCAUUGAGUCAACACGUAAUGAAGCCCUACCCUGGAAACCAUGAAGUAGGCUCACCAAAAAGGCUAUUUAACCAAAACUUAUCUAAAUCCCGAGUUGUAGUUGAAAAUACGUUUGGAAUUUUAACCUCGGUUUUUAGAAUAUUCAGACGUCCUAUCGAUUUAGAACCACAAACUGUGACAGAAUUUACGAUGACUUGUGUAUUACUACAUAACUUUUUGAGAACAAGUAAAAGUUCUUCAAAUCGAUAUAUUCCUCAGGGUUCGUUAGACGUAUAUGACAGUAGUGGAAAUAUGGUUACACCUGGUUCAUGGCGCAGAGAUAACGACGGAUAUAAUGCAUUGCAAACAUUACCACAAAUACCACGAAGAUCUCCGCUGAAUGCCAAAGAAGUCAGAGAAGAAUUUACUUCAUAUUUUAAUAGGAUUGGAUAAGUUGAUAAAAAUGUAUAAAUAAAUUUAUAAUAAGUAA